UCUUUGGAUACAGCUCUAGCAUAAAGUUAAACAACAUCUGCAGAGAUCUGACUGACAAACAUCUCUCUGGGACUCAUCAUUGCAGCCUGCAGCAGGUGCAUUCAGCUUUGCAGUCUUUUCCAAAAAGAGACAUUCUCCUUCUGUAUAAGAAGUACUUCUAGGUGAUUUUGAAGACAUAGUCCCAUUGUCUGUUUUCGGAAGAGGGAAAAGAAAAAUCAAAUAUUGUUUCAACGUCUCUUAGGGAAGAUUUUAUAAAGGCG
rnacentral:lncRNA from 1 species